rnacentral:rRNA from 1 species
UACGUAGGGGGCAAGCGUUAAUCGGAAUUACUGGGCGUAAAGCGUGCGCAGGCGGUUUUGUAAGCCAGAUGUGAAAUCCCCGGGCUUAACCUGGGAAUGGCAUUUGGGACUGCAAGGCUCGAGUGCGGCAGAGGAGACUGGAAUUCCUGGUGUAGCAGUGAAAUGCGUAGAUAUCAGGAGGAACACCGAUGGCGAAGGCAGGUCUCUGGGCUGACACUGACGCUCAUGCACGAAAGCGUGGGGAGCAAACAGG